AUGUGGCACAGCCAUACAGUGGAAUAUUAUUCAGCCAAGAAAAGGAACGAAGUUCUGAUACAUGCUGCAACACGGAUGGACCUGGAACACACGCUCAGUGAAAAAGAUGCCCACCCCGGUUUCCCCGAACCCUCACCAGCAGGUGAGCUCAGCAGAAAAUGUGCAAGAACGGUACAAAGAACUGCAUAUGCCCUCCGCCCAGAUGUCCCAUUGAAGUGUCACCAGUUCCCAUGAUGGCGUUGAGAGAAAGGGACUCAGUCUGGCAUCACCUGUCGCCUCCCUCGUCUCCAUCUCUGGUCUGAUUCCUCUGUCCUGCCUGAAGUUUGACACUCCUGGUGCCUUCGAAGGUAACAGGGUCGCGCUGGGUAGGACGCCCCCUCGUGGCCACCCCGCGUCCCCUGCUUGGACAGGACCGUCACAGAGGGGACGCGCGGCUCCUCUCAUCGCCUCCUACCUGGUGACAGUUGAUGUCAAUCUAUGUU